rnacentral:rRNA from 1 species
UACGUAGGGUGCAAGCGUCAAUCGGAAUUACUGGGCGUAAAGCGUGCGCAGGCGGCUUUGCAAGACAGAUGUGAAAUCCCCGGGCUUAACCUGGGAACUGCAUUUGUGACUGCAUGGCUGGAGUGCGGCAGAGGGGGAUGGAAUUCCGCGUGUAGCAGUGAAAUGCGUAGAUAUGCGGAGGAACACCGAUGGCGAAGGCAAUCCCCUGGGCCUGCACUGACGCUCAUGCACGAAAGCGUGGGGAGCAAACAGG